rnacentral:rRNA from 1 species
AUUGAACGCUGGCGGCAGGCCUAACACAUGCAAGUCGAACGGGAACAGGAAGCAGCUUGCUGCUUUGCUGACGAGUGGCGGACGGGUGAGUAAUGUCUGGGAAACUGCCUGAUGGAGGGGGAGAACUACUGGAAACGGUGGCUAAUACCGCAUAACGUCGCAAGACCAAAGAGGGGGACCUUCGGGCCUCUUGCCAUCGGAUGUGCCCAGAUGGGAUUAGCUAGUAGGUGGGGUAACGGCUCACCUAGGCGACGAUCCCUAGCUGGUCUGAGAGGAUGACCAGCCACACUGGCACUGAGAAACGGUCCAGACUCCUACGGGAGGCCGCAGUGGGGAAUAUUGCGCAAUGGGCGAAAGCCUGAUGCAGCCAUGCCGCGUGUAUGAAGAAGGCCUUCGGGUUGUAAAGUACUUUCAGCGGGGAGGAAGGGAGUAAAGUUAAUACCUUUGCUCAUUGACGUUACCCGCAGAAGAAGCACCGGCUAACUCCGUG